CAUACACACCUUAUGUAUGUGUGGAGGCGCGUGUCUAUGUGGUAUUAUUGAACUCAUGGUCGUAAGGUUGCGGUUUCGAUUCCUGCACCGGGUGAUGCGUUGUGUUCUUCAGCAAAACACUUCAUUUUCACGUUGGUCCAGUCCACCCAGAUGGCAAAAAUGAGUAAUCUUGCGACGGAGCGACGGACCGUCAA